GUGGGAUCAACACCCUGUCAAGAGCCACCUCAUUCUCGUAAACACACAAAGCCCCAGAAAGAAACGGAGCAAAUGUUUCCUAUGUUGGUCUCCUCUGCCUUCGUUGCCCAAAUGUAAAUGGUUGUAGAAAUUUCCAGAUGAAAGUUUAUGACAUAAAUGAAUUCCUAGUGAUUGAUUUUUGUAUUCCUCUGUGAAGUCCACACAAUGGGAGGUGGCUGCUUAUCACUGAGUAAGAUCAUUGAAUGAUUUAAUGGGGGGUUAAAUGAAAAGUAAGAGUUUUCAUACUGGUGUGAUGUAAAUCCUGCGUCCAAUUAAAGCCUCAAAGCAUUUUUUAAAAGCUGUAUAAAAGGUGAAUCAUUUCUGUAAACAGCCCUUAAAGUGAAAACCCAACACCUUUGCUGUGGGAGAAGUAAUAUGCUCUCAAAUACCUCAGCAAACAAAGAGUCCCUUGCCU
rnacentral:lncRNA from 1 species